GUUUAAAUGGUGCCCUCAGUUCAUCUAAGAAAGAGGAACAGAAAGAAUGAGCUCAUGGGGAUCAAAGAUGUGGCACUCCCAGAAGCAUGUGAGAGCUUCAGGCCUAACUUGUGCAUAACAGAGUUGAAGAGCUGACACGGUGCUUACUAACUCAUCAGAAGCAGAAGCGCCCUGGUGAUUCUAUGCCACACCACCAUUCCCCAGGAAAAUGUUCUCCACUGAGACAAAAUCCUUAAAUUUUUAGAAUGGCCUUAUUAUGGAUUACAGCAAACAUCUCAGCACAUCUUUCUCAGCAAGGAUCUCAAAACAGCAUUGGGAUGGCCUUAUUAAUAGAUCCCUUACGAAAACUCAGAAAAGUUAGAGAGGCACUCAGAAUCUUCCUAAAAUAUGAAAUGUUGAAAUCUGGAUUCUUUUUUUACCAUGACUGCAAAAUGUAAGCCACUACUUGGGCUCACCUUGUUGAAUCAGAUUUCUUCUACUUUGCCAUUUUGAUGAUAUCACUCCCAGGUAUGUUUUUUUCUUUUUUUUUCCUUUUCUUUUUCCUUUCUUUUCUCUUUCUUUUUUUUUUUUUUUUUUUUUUUUGAGACAGAGUUGUGCUCCUGUUGCCCAGGCUGGAGUGCAAUGGCACGAUCUCUGUAGGCUCACUGCAACCUCCACCUCCCCAGUUCAAGCAAUUCUCCUGCCUCAGCCUCCCGAGUAGCUGAGAUCACAGGAGCCUGCCACGACGCCCAGAUAAAUUUUUGUAUUUUUUUAGUAGAGAUGGGGUUUCACCAUGUUGGCCAGGCUGGUCUUGAACUCCUGACCUCCAGUCAUCUGCCCACCUAUGCCUACCAAAGUGCUCACUCCCAGGAGAUGAAUCUAUUGCUUCCAGAGCAUGAAUACUAGAACAGAGGACAGUUGGUAAAACUGAGAUACCAUGCCAGGUAAUAGUCGGAGUUUCAGCUGGAAAAUAGAAGAUAUGUUUCCAUUGGGUCAAGCAAGAAGAGCUUGAGACAUCUCAUCGAUUACCUACAAAAACUGCCCAGAUAAGUGAGGAGACCCAUGAGAUUUGGUAUAAAUUGCUCACUGUAUGUGGGGUAACAGAAAGAAGAAUAACCCAACAUAGAAAGCCUCAAAGCAGGAAGAUACUACACAGACUUCCAAAGAAGCAGUGAGAGGACACCAUCUGAUGCUGGCUGCACCAAGAAGCCUGAAUGGCUGUCAGUGUCAGAGAGGAAAGAAGAAAGAUGAGAGGGAAAGCUAAGAAAAGGUGAGAAGAAAGGGUCAGGAGGAGAAAUGCAAAGAGACUGGGAUAAUUUUUUGGACCAUACCUUCUCUGCUGGCAGCUUACUGUGACUGCACCAUCCAAAAUUUGGUAUAAGGAUUUGGAAAUUUGACCAAUAUUUCUUAGAAGUUGACCGCAGGAAACUGAAACUGCAAAAGUAGAAACCAUGGAAAAGGGAAGACUGCUGUAUACAAUUCAGCCUCAAGGACAAUAUAUUAAUUAGCUAUUGCUACAACAGUGCUGUGUAAAGAACAAACCCAAAACACGGUGGCUUACAAAAACACAAGUCUGCAGGAGAUUUGUAGUUUACUGGGCUCAGUAGUUAUCAACUGGGCUUAGUUCCAGUCUGCAGGAUAGGAUAAGGUCAUUUUUUUUUCUUACUCGGGAGCAAAGUUGAUUACUUGGGGCAUUUUCUAUUCAUCAAAGAAGGCAGCAACAUAAAAGACCAACUCAAACCAUGCAAGUAUAUUUAAAACUGUAUUUGCAUCACAUCGACAAACAAUCCUUUCAAUAAAACAAGUCACAUGUACAAACUCAAGGCUAAUGGGGAGACCAUGUGCACUUUACAUCUUUACUGGCAGGCCUUUCUGAAUCACAUGACAAAGAGUGUGACUAAAUAGUCUGCAAAGGGGAUGGAGUGAAGACUUUGGGAAAAUGAUUAAAUCUAUCAUAGCUAACAUCUUACAUCAUGUGGAAACAUUAGAGACCUUCUACUAAUGUCAGAAACAAGAAAACAGUAUACUUGAUCUCCAGCACCGUAUUUAAUAUUGUGAUGGCAGUAUUAAUGAAUACGAUUAGACAAGAAAAUUCAUUAGAAACAUGAGAAUUGGAGGGAAAGAGGUAAAACUUUAUCAGAUUAUAUAUAAAAUCCAAAAAAUAAAAAACUACAAUAAAAACAGUAACUUAAUAAAGCAUUAAGUUGUUCAGUUAAUAUGUAAAAAUCAACAGCCUUUAUUUAUCCAACAAAAACUUAAUAGAUGAUAUUAUGGAAGACAAAAUAAUAUAUUGUAACAGCAAAAAUAAAAAUAAAAUACCUGGGUGUAAAUUUUACAAAAGAUGUCCCAAAGUUCUAUGAAGAGGAUAUUUUACACCUGAAAAACAUAAACAAAAAAUUUCAGAUUUGGAGCAGGACAAAUUGGUUAUAAGUUUCAAUUAAAACAAUAAAUAAUUAAAACUAUUAAGCAAAAUUCUGAAAAAGAAAAAUAACAAAAGGACCUGAAGGUUAGCCCUAUUAGGCAUUAAACAUAUCAUAAUGCCUCUAUUAUAACUGAGUUUGUCCAGGAAUUUAAUGAGUAAAUAGGCUAAUGUAAAACUACUGAAAACCCACAAGAGAAAUAAUUUCUUAUGAAAAUUUAGUAUAUGAUAAAUGUGGCAUCUUAAAUUAGUGAAGAGAGGGAUUUUUUUUAAUAUGAGCUAUUUUAAUAUGCUAUAUCAAAGUGCAUAAUGGAUCAUUUUUCACUUCAUUUUAGAAUAAGUUCCAAAUGCAUCAGAGAUUUGUAAAAGCAAAACAAAAAUAAUAUAAUGAGACCUUUCAAGUACUAGAUGAAAACCUGAGUGACUCUAUUUAAAAUUUUGGAAAAUAGAUUACUUUUCUGACUAUAAAAUAAAAAAUGAUAAUAGAAGCCAUGGAUAAGUUUCGCUUAAAAGAUUUUACAAUAUUUGCAUGGCAAUAAUACUAUAAGCAAAGUAAAAAUACAAAAUCAAACUGACAUCUAUUUUUUAUAACUUAUACCACAGAAAAAAAGAGUUAAUAUCUUAAAUUUGUAAAGAUUGAAUACAAUCCAAAUGUCCAUUGGUAAAGGUCUGGUUGAAUAAAUAACCACACAGUGGAAUAUUAUAUAGUUGAAAAAAAGAAUUAGGACAAUUUCUAUAUUCUGUUAGAUCUCCAGGAUAUGUUAUUAAAGAAAAAUUGCAAGCUGGAAAAAAAUAUAUGGGGAUGCUACCUUUUAUUUAAGAAAGUGGUAUUUGAAGGUCAAUGUAUAAUAAUUUAUUUAAAACAAUACAGCAAUGGCAGGAUAAGCUCUACAUUAAAAAAAAGUUUAUAGGAGGGAGAAAGCAGAGUGGAAGGCUCCCUAUGAGAAGCUAGCUUUUUAAAAAUAUACCUUAAUAUAUAGAUUUGACCUUGUAACUAGAUAAAUAUUUUAUGUAAUUUUAUUAAAAGACAAUAUUUAAAAUAUAGUUUCUCAUAAUUGAAAAUGAAAUAAAUUAUAUAAAAAAAUAGUCUGUACAGUGGUGGAAAACCAUACAGAAAAUACUAAACUAAUAAUUUAAGGUAAUUUGACUGUACUGAGAUAUACCCUGAGGACACAAUUAACUGAAACAUUUUUUAAUAUUUUGUUGGAUAUAGUAUUGAUUUUAUAAUUUUGGGGCUGUUUUGUCUCAUAAAUAAAAUGAAUAAUUAUUUGGAUAUCAUUUAAAAUGUGGAGUUUCAGCAUAUUUUAAAAGGAGAUAUAAAUGUAAGGUCAAUGAAACUAAGUAAAAUUACAUUCUGUGUUUGAAUUGAAAAAAUAUCAGAAUAAACCUAUGGUGACAUAAACAAAAGCAAAGUUGACUUCUAGCUUUGCACACUGAAAACAUCUAGAAACAAUGGCUAAUCUAAUAGUAAUGAACUCCUCUAACAUACAGAUUAUGGUCUCUAAUUACCAUUUUCUGUCAAAAAAUGAAUCAAGAAUCCUUUGCUAAUUGCAGUUGUGUCACAGUUGAUUGGAGCAUCUUGUCAUUCCAGAAAUCAAGAAAUAUCAAAAUAUCCUUACAUUAAAAGAUUCAAGACAUGAAAAUGUUUCCUGGCCAAAGACAGAACAAUUGGAGCAUCAUUAAAGAUAAUAAUUGUCACGUAUUUAUAUUUAUUAAAAAUUUUAAAUGCAUUAGUUUAUAAUAGGUUAAAAAACAAAAAAUAAAAAAUACUUUAUCAUUUUUCCACAUGUUUUUCCAUUAUUGUAUAUUUUUGAAGGAUAUCAGAAAAUUAUCUUGUUAUUUUGAAAGUUGGUAAAUAAAGAGAAAGAAUACAGUAUUUAUUUUGCCUUUCAUAAUAAUCUAUAUCUCAGGUUAACUAUUUGUUGAUAAGUUUCUUUUUCUAAUAGCAUUUGUUUCAGCUAAUAAAGGAUUAGGAAUGACAGAACUAGAAUAUGACAAUUUUUGUAACUGCUCAUGGAUUUAUGGAUCUAGGCAAUAAUCAUCUAUGGCUACCAACAUCCCAAAGAGACAAACCAGCAUUGGAUAGUUCAUGAAGAAAUCAUACAACACCAUGUGUGAAGUUAUCUUGGGAAACAAUGCACCCUGAAUCAUAUUGAGCCUUUAGAUCUAAGUACUAUUUAAUAAGAAACCAUUACAAGCAACCAUGGAGAUGCAAUCACCAGGAGCAGCUUGUGAGGAAUUCUACAAGUCAGACAACUCUUUUUCCUCAACAAAUGACCUGCAAGGCAAAAAAAGUACAGAUGGAGAUGGAAGCCUACAAAGUAAAAGUGACUUAUGACCUAGGUAAUGGGUUGAUAGGUUCAGCAAACCACCAUGGCACAUGUUUACCCGUGUAAGAAACCUGCACAUCCUGCACAUAUAUCCAGGAACUUAAAAUAAAAUAAUGUUUUAAAAGUGACUUAUGAAUGUGCUUUAUUUGAAUCCUGACUCAAAUGAGUAAGCUGUAAAAAACAGAAGAAUUUUCUAUUCUUUCCCUACCAAGUCAGCCUUACUUAUUUAUUUUAUCUUCCUAUUCAUAAUAAGCACUAUAUAUGUGUUCCCUAUUCUAAUAUAAAACUACCUUUUCUUUUUUCCAAAUUAGUAAGUAUAGGACUUGAGCAUUCAAAAGACUCUAAGUAACAUAAAAACAGAAAUUUUAUCUAUUUUGUUUACUGUUUUGUCUUCACUGCUGAGAACAUUAUCUGGAAAUUAGUAGAUGCUUAAUUAAUAUCUGUUGAGUGAAUGACUCAUAUUUAGUUACAUUUAGAGUUGGAAUUUGUCCCAGGUUUUCUGAUUUCCAACCUAGCAUAAGUGCCCCUUCACCACUUUACUAGAUGCUAUCCAUAACCUGCCCUGAUAAUCCCUUGACCCACCUUAGUUUAUGCAUCAAGGCAGUUUCCAGCAUGGUCUCAGCUUCCCACCCCAAGCAUCCAGUUUUUUCUUCUUCCUUGCCUGAAGGUUUUCUUCAGUGGGUAAGUAGGCACAAUCCAGAAUUGCGUAACCCUAGGAAAGCCUCAGGAGCAAACCUUAACAAAUGGGAAAUUGGAGUCAGUGUAUAAAUGCUCUAGCCUUUCAACCCUCCGAUGAGGUUUUUUUUUGAGAUAUGUUUCACUUGGUGUCCUAGAGGAUUCCUGAGAGACCUGAACCCAGUUCUCCAUGACAAUUACGUGAUCAGGGAAACUUUAACAUAUCUGUGCCUUAUCCCUAUAACUUAUGUAAUAACAGCUUUCUGUAGUGGAAAGAAAACAGCUGUUCCAAAAUCUUCAUAUAUAUUGAAUCUCCACAAGUCCUUACAAAAUAAGUGCUAACUUAGGUAUUUUUAAUUUAGAGAUGAGAAAACUGAAGCUCCAAGUGGCUAACUAAUUUAUCCAGUACUUAUACCCGUAGAGUAGAUACUGUUGGGCCAGGAUUUCUAUUCAGCUCUGUGAAAAUACAGAUGCCAUGAACUUUCAGCCAUAGAGUGGUGCAUUCCUGCAUUUCUAGACUAAGGUGGCCAAAAGAACUUAAUUAAAUUAUUGGUUCAAUCGUUCACUGAAGAAUCUCAAUGUCAUGCAGUUCAUUAACAAGCAUCUGAUUCUUCAGCAUUCUGGUGCUUGUACUGAAGAAAAGAUUUAUAUGUUAUAAAUCACUACUCCUUGUCUUUUCAUUAUUUCUCUCAAGUUCUUAAGGGGAAUGAUGAUGAAGAAUAGAAAAAUAGGGAGAAAUAGUAGAAGGAUAAAAUCAAAACCUUUUAACAGUUUUAGCCUCAAAGCUAUUUUGAAGAUAAAUGACAUAUCUAGGGUACAGAGUUAAUCUUUGACAAAAGACAAGCCCCUUGUGGGAUUUUCUAUUUGCUUGUUUUACUGAUUAUUUUUAUUUUGUCCUGACAGGAUUUUGCACCAUCAGAUACAUUUUGAUAUUAGAAGAUAAAGAGAUUGGCCCGAAACUGGGAUGGAGGAGAAGCAGCCAAAGAGUUGUUCUGUUUCUUAAGUUACUUUGAAGGUUGUACACUUUUAAUAUUCAUUUUGAGGAAUAAAUAAUUUAGACAUCCAAUUAAAUAC
rnacentral:lncRNA from 10 species